rnacentral:rRNA from 1 species
UACAGAGGGGGCAAGCGUUAUUCGGAAUUAUUGGGCGUAAAGGGCGCGUAGGCGGCUUUGCAAGUGACGGGUGAAAUCCCACGGCUUAACCGUGGAACUGCCUGUCAGACUGCAUGGCUUGAGACCAGGAGAGGUGAGUGGAAUUCCCAGUGUAGCGGUGAAAUGCGUAGAUAUUGGGAGGAACACCAGUGGCGAAGGCGGCUCACUGGACUGGUACUGACACUGAGGCGCGAAAGCGUGGGGAGCAAACAGG